UAUUAUUUUAGCGGCGGACGGGUGAGUAACGUGUGGGUAACCUGCCUUUUACUGUGGAAUAAUCGUUGGAAACGACGACUAAUACCGCAUACGGUUCUUGGAAGGCAUCUUCUAAGAAAGAAAGGAGUAAUUCGGUAAAAGAUGGGCCCGCAUCUGAUUAGCUAGUUGGUGAGAUAAUAGCCCACCAAGGCAACGAUCAGUAGCCGACCUGAGAGGGUGACCGGCCACAUUGGGACUGAGACACGGCCCAAACUCCUACGGAAGGCAGCAG
rnacentral:rRNA from 1 species